rnacentral:rRNA from 1 species
AAUACCGCAUACGUCCUACGGGAGAAAGCGGGCCUCUACACUAUGCUCGCACUCGAGGAUGAGCCCACGUCCGAUUAGCUAGUUGGUAGGGUAACGGCCUACCAAGGCCACGAUCGGUAGCUGGUCUGAGAGGAUGAUCAGCCACACUGGGACUGAGACACGGCCCAGACUCCUACGGGAGGCAGCAGGUGGGGAAUAUUGGACAAUGGGCGCAAGCCUGAUCCAGCAAUGCCGCGUGUGUGAAGAAGGCCUGCGGGUUAGUAAAGCUACUUUCAGUGGGGAAGAACGGAUACGGGCCAAUACCCCGCAUCACUGACGUUACCCACAGAAGAAGCACCGGCUAACUCCGUG